GGACCCGCACAAGUAGUGGAGCAUGUGGUUUAAUUCGAAGAUACGCGCAGAACCUUACCAACACUUGACAUGUUCGUCGCGACUUUAAGAGAUUAAAGUUUUCGGUUCGGCCGGACGAAACACAGGUGCUGCAUGGCUGUCGUCAGCUCGUGUCGUGAGAUGUUGGUUAAGUCCCGCAACGAGCGCAACCCUCACUUUUAGUUGCCAUCAUUAAGUUGGGCACUCUGAAAGAACUGCCAGUGAUAAGCUGGAGGAAGGUGGGGAUGACGUCAAGUCCUCAUGGCCCUUACGUGUUGGGCUACACACGUGCUACAAUGGCCGGUACAGAGGGCUGCAAUACCGCAAGGUGGAGCG
rnacentral:rRNA from 1 species